rnacentral:rRNA from 1 species
GAUGAACGCUAGCUACAGGCUUAACACAUGCAAGUCGAGGGGAAACGAUGAGAGAGCUUGCUCUCUUAGGCGUCGACCGGCGCACGGGUGAGUAACGCGUAUCCAACCUACCCAUUACAGGGGUAUAACCUUGCGAAAGUAAGACUAAUACCCCAUGGCAUUUUAUGGUGGCAUCAUUAUAGGAUUAAAGAUUUAUUGGUAAUGGAUGGGGAUGCGUCUGAUUAGCUUGCUGGCGGGGUAACGGCCCACCAAGGCAACGAUCAGUAGGGGUUCUGAGAGGAAGCUCCCCCACAAUGGAACUGCGCCACGGUCUAAACUCCUACGGGAGGAAGCAGUGACGAAUAGUGGGCAAAGGGCGAGAGCUUGACCCAGCCAAGUAGAGUGCAGGAUUCCGCCCCUACGGGUGGUAAACUGCUUUUAUAGGGGAAUAAAGUGAGUGACGUGUAAUUUAUUGCAUGUACCCUAUGAAUAAGGACCGGCUAAUUCCGUG